rnacentral:rRNA from 1 species
GAUCAUUACGAAAUUCGGCGCGCUCCGGCGCUGCCUUAUUCACCAACCCUUUGUCUACGCGUACCCCUAUAGCUUCCUCGGCGGGCUCGCCCGCCGCCAGGAACCAACGAAACCCCUUGCAUUAUACACGAAAACUUCUGAUAACCAACCUAAAUAAUCACAACUUUCAACAAUGGAUCUCUUGGUUCUGGCAUCGAUGAAGAACGCAGCGAAAUGCGAUAAGUAGUGUGAAUUGCAGAAUUCAGUGAAUCAUCGAAUCUUUGAACGCACAUUGCGGCCAUAGGUAUUCCUUUGGCCAUGCCUGUUCGAGCGUCAUUUACACCCUCAAGCCCAGCUUGGUGUUGGGCGUCUGUCCCGCCGUUUUCGCGCGCGGACUCGCCUCAAAGUCAUUGGCGGCGGUCGUGCCGGCCCCUCGCGCAGCACAUUUGCGCUUCUCGGAGGCCCGGCGGAUCCGCGCUCCAGCGAAGACCUUUCAUGACUUGACCUCGGAUCAGGUAGGGAUACCCGCUGAACUUAAGCAUAUCAAUAAGCGGAGGAAAAGAAACCAACAGGGAUUGCCCUAGUAACGGCGAGUGAAGCGGCAACAGCUCAAAUUUGAAAUCUGGCCCCUUUGGGGUCCGAGUUGUAAUUUGCAGAGGGUGCUUUGGCGUUGGCAGCGGUCUAAGUUCCUUGGAACAGGACAUCGCAGAGGGUGAGAAUCCCGUAUGUGGUCGCAUGCCUCCGCCGUGUAAAGCCCCUUCGACGAGUCGAGUUGUUUGGGAAUGCAGCUCUAAAUGGGAGGUAAAUUUCUUCUAAAGCUAAAUACCGGCCAGAGACCGAUAGCGCACAAGUAGAGUGAUCGAAAGAUGAAAAGCACUUUGGAAAGAGAGUCAAACAGCACGUGAAAUUGUUGAAAGGGAAGCGCUUGCAGCCAGACUUGCCUGUAGUUGCUCACCCGGGCUCCUGCCCGGGGCACUCUUCUGCAGGCAGGCCAGCAUCAGUUUGGGCGGUCGGAUAAAGGGCUCUGACACGUACUUCCCCUCGGGGUUGACAUACAGGGGAGCCGCAAUGCGAUCAGCCCGGACUGAGGUCCGCG